rnacentral:rRNA from 1 species
CCUACGGGUGGCAGCAGUGAGGAAUAUUGGUCAAUGGGCGGAAGCCUGAACCAGCCAAGUAGCGUGCAGGAUGACGGCCCUACGGGUUGUAAACUGCUUUUAUACGGGAAUAACGCGCCUUACGUGUAGGGCUUUGCAUGUACCGUAUGAAUAAGGACCGGCUAAUUCCGUGCCAGCAGCCGCGGUAAUACGGAAGGUCCGGGCGUUAUCCGGAUUUAUUGGGUUUAAAGGGAGCGUAGGCGGCAUGUCAAGCGUGCUGUGAAAUGUCCGGGCUCAACCCGGGCCUUGCAGCGCGAACUGGCGUACUGGAGUGCGCGGAAAGCAGGCGGAAUUCGUGGUGUAGCGGUGAAAUGCUUAGAUAUGACGAAGAACCCCGAUUGCGAAGGCAGCUUGCUGCAGCGGAACUGACGCUGAUGCUCGAAAGCGCGGGUAUCGAACAGGAUUAGAUACCCCAGUAGUC